rnacentral:rRNA from 1 species
GAUGAACGCUAGCGGGAGGCUUAACACAUGCAAGUCGAGCGGGAUUGGUAGCAAUACCAUGAGAGCGGCGCACGGGUGCGUAACGCGUAUGCAACCUGCCUUAUACAAAGGGAUAGCCCAUGGAAACGUGGAUUAAUAUCUUAUAGAACUGGUUUUUCGCAUGGAAGAUUAGUUAAAACUUUGGUGGUAUAAGAUGGGCAUGCGUCUGAUUAGCUAGUUGGUGAGGUAACGGCUCACCAAGGCGACGAUCAGUAGGGGUUCUGAGAGGAUUACCCCCCACACUGGUACUGAGACACGGACCAGACUCCUACGGGAGGCUG